CAGACAUGGUCGUCCCAGAAGCCUUAAAACGACUGCCUGUUUUUAAGGUAGUGAUGCCAGCUGGUGUAUCACGUGAUGAUGAGCGGCAGCUGGUGUCUUACCUGGCAUCGCUGAAUCCCACACAAGGGCCUACUCUGCUCAGAUUUUUCACAAGUCCUUCAGUUGAGUACCACGUCCUGAACAUUCCUCCAGUUCGGUGUCAUUCGAGGUAGACCUUCAGCAGUCCUUUAUCUUUUUAUUUGUUUUUGUUAUUCUGUUUAUUAAAUGAUUGGAGGAUUUU
rnacentral:lncRNA from 1 species